rnacentral:rRNA from 1 species
GAUCCUGGCUCAGAAUCAACGCUGGCGGCGUGCCUAACACAUGCAAGUCGAACGCGAAAGCCCCGAAAGGGGCAAGUAGAGUGGCAAACGGGUGAGUAACACGUGGGUGACCUGCCUUCGAGCGGGGGAUAACGUCCCGAAAGGGACGCUAAUACCGCAUAACAUCCUGCCUUUGAAGAGGUGGAGAUCAAAGCUGGGGAUCGCAAGACCCGGCACUUGAAGAGGGGCCCGCGUCUGAUUAGCUAGUUGGUGGGGUAACGGCCUACCAAGGCAACGAUCAGUAUCCGGCCUGAGAGGGCGGACGGACACACUGGGACUGAGACACGGCCCAGACUCCUACGGGAGGCAGCAGUGGGGAAUUGUUCGCAAUGGGCGCAAGCCUGACGACGCAACGCCGCGUGGAGGAUGAAGAUUUUCGGAUCGUAAACUCCUGUCGAAUGGGACGAACAGAUUGCGGGUUAACAGCCCGUAGUCCUGACGGUACCGUUAAAGGAAACCCCGGCUAACUCCGUGCCAGCAGCCGCGGUAAUACGGGGGGGGUAAGCGUUGUUCGGAAUUACUGGGCGUAAAGGGCUCGUAGGCGGCCAACUAAGUCAUACGUGAAAUCCCUCAGCUUAACUGGGGAACUGCGUGUGAUACUGGAUGGCUUGGAUUUGGGAGAGGGAUGCGGAAUUCCAGGUGUAGCGGUGA